CUACAGGACCGUAUCAGCCUGAAGGCGACCGAUCUCGUCUAGUAUCUCGGAAGCUAAGCAGGGUCGGGCCUGGUUAGUAUCUUGGAUUCGGGGAGACCACCUGGGAAUCCCGGGUGCUCGAGGC
rnacentral:rRNA from 1 species